rnacentral:rRNA from 1 species
GCUGGCGGCAUGCCUAACACAUGCAAGUCGAACGGUAACGCGGAGAGCUUGCUCUCUGGCGACGAGUGGCGGACGGGUGAGUAAUACUUAGGAAUCUGCCCAGUAGUGGGGGACAACAUUCGGAAACGGAUGCUAAUACCGCAUACGCACUACGGUGGAAAGUGGGGGACCUUCGGGCCUCACGCUAUUGGAUGAGCCUAAGUCGGAUUAGCUUGUUGGUGAGGUAAUAGCUCACCAAGGCGACGAUCCGUAGCUGGUCUGAGAGGACGAUCAGCCACACUGGGACUGAGACACGGCCCAGACUCCUACGGGAGGCAGCAGUGGGGAAUAUUGGACAAUGGGCGCAAGCCUGAUCCAGCAAUGCCGCGUGUGUGAAGAAGGCCUGCGGGUUGUAAAGCACUUUCAGUAGAGAAGAAAAGCCUAGGGUUAAUACCCCUGAGUCUUGACGUAACCUACAGAAGAAGCACCGGCUAACUCCGUGCCAGCAGCCGCGGUAAUACGGAGGGUGC